AUAAAAAUUAGAAUCAGAGAGAGAUAAACGUUACGUUCUGAGAAACAUAUAACAGAGAAAAGCAAUGUAAAGAAUAGUCAGGUGACUGGAUAGUUGGUACUAACGUUGCAUUGUCAUUGUCGGAUUCUUCAUUUUCGCUUAACUCAUUUGAACAUUGAGAGUCUGAUCCAUUGUUGCUAUUGCUCAUCAUCGACGUGCUUUCUGUAUCAGACCAUACAGCGCUAUCCUCAAAAUGUUCAAUUUCACAUGACGUCGUCUGUGUGCUGUGAUUUUUUGUUGAAAUGAACUCAACCUCCGUACCUUAGCAUAAAAUUAUCGUAUUGCUGGAUUUUUCACAAAAAUCAAAACGGCCGGAAUGGAAAGUCUAUACCUCUACUUAUCAUAUUUGGCACUUUUGUUUGAGUGGUUCUUGACCUUACGUGUUUUUGCGGACGGAUUGUUAUGGCUGCUUGGCAUUUCACAUUGCGCUUCUAAGACAAACUUCCUUUGAGGUAAAACGCACAAACAUUUCGAGCCGAUGUCAACACAUCGUGGUCGUCGUCUACAAGAAAGUCGUCAUUUUCUGCAAGAACGUCGUCAAUAAUCUAAAAUUAUAAAAUUGUCUUCAAUUUGAUGCUACACUUGUGGGUUCCACAGAGUAUUCAAAAAUCGUGGGUACAGCAUCCUUCUUAAGGCGAAGCCGUCCUGCUGUCCAUCCUACUGAUUGCAUCGCUUCAAAAU